AUUGAACGCUGGCGGCAGGCCUAACACAUGCAAGUCGAGCGGAUGAAGGGAGCUUGCUCCUGGAUUCAGCGGCGCACGGGUGAGUAAUGCCUAGGAAUCUGCCUGGUAGUGGGGGAUAACGUCCGGAAACGGGCGCUAAUACCGCAGACGUCCUGAGGGAGAAAGUGGGGGAUCUUCGGACCUCACGCUAUCAGAUGAGCCUAGGUCGGAUUAGCUAGUUGGUGGGGUAAAGGCCUACUAAGGCGACGAUCCGUAACUGGUCUGAGAGGAUGAUCAGUCACACUAGAACUGAGACACGGACCAGACUCCUACGGGAGGGAGCAGUGGGGAAUAUUGGACAAUGGGCGAAAGCAUGAUCCAACCAUGCCGAGUGUGUGAAGAAGGUCUUCGGAUUGUAAAGCACUUUAAGUUGGGAGAAAGGGCAGUAAGUUAAUACCUUGCUGUUUUGACGUUACCAACAGAAUAAGCACCGGCUAACUUCGUG
rnacentral:rRNA from 1 species